GUCGACGUGGACAUACUGAACAACGAAGAGGAGAAUCGGGAAUGCUUGAACAACGGUCAUAGAAAUAUUACAUAGGAAUUUUCCAUUGUCUUUGAUCAGAGAUUUUUCGUUUGCUACCCACUUUUAAUAAGUGAAUUUUUCUUUUUGAAUCCAGCCGCCAUUAAUUAUGCAAAUUUCCUGGUGGAGGAAUUACGAACUGCUCAUUCCAAUCUCAUUUCAUCCGUCGUCUGCUCUAAUUUAUUCACGCGUCAGACGCGUCACGCGGGUUUGUGUUUGAGAAAUAUUCUUCAGUCGUUCAGUGUCAGCCUCAGCCUUAUAGCCAUACGCUUCACAACCCCACACACACCCAAUUAAACUGUGUGACAGUAUAUUUUGCCUGAAAUAGCAUGAAUUCUAAUCUCCAGUCUACAUAGGAAUUCAAUCUAAAGUUCUGUUUCAUACCGAGCGAAUUCUGUUUCAGAAAUUCUGGAUCUCCUUGGUCCCAGACUUCAUUUCCAGUCCGAUCUGACUUCAACCCUAAUAGAAAUUCUUCAUAUUCAGCCAUAAUUUCUGGUCAAGGGGUUCCAUCAUGUUCUAGGCUUCUAGCAGUCAGGCAACAUUUACUAAUGGUUGCUCAGUAAGCAGUCUAGGAGAAUCGGACAGCUCUUCCACAAUGUUGUUGGAUAGAUCUACAGUUUGUGAAUCACCUGAAAGUGAAAAAGGUGCUCUAGGAGCUCCUAGGGAGUCUAUAAUGACACUGAAAAAACGGACAAAGACAAAAUAAAAACACUCAAGAAAUGCCAGCCUUGUAAUUUAUAACACACCAGUUAUACGUUACGCCAAGUUACAACCGAACGAAGUAAAGGAAGU